rnacentral:rRNA from 1 species
GACGAACGCUGGCGGCGUGCCUAAUACAUGCAAGUAGAACGCUGAAGAGAGGAGCUUGCUCUUCUUGGAUGAGUUGCGAACGGGUGAGUAACGCGUAGGUAACCUGCCUGGUAGCGGGGGAUAACUAUUGGAAACGAUAGCUAAUACCGCAUAAAAUUGAUUAUUGCAUGAUAAUUAAUUGAAAGAUGCAAUUGCAUCACUACCAGAUGGACCUGCGUUGUAUUAGCUAGUUGGUGAGGUAACGGCUCACCAAGGCGACGAUACAUAGCCGACCUGAGAGGGUGAUCGGCCACACUGGGACUGAGACACGGCCCAGACUCCUACGGGAGGCAGCAGUAGGGAAUCUUCGGCAAUGGGGGGAACCCUGACCGAGCAACGCCGCGUGAGUGAAGAAGGUUUUCGGAUCGUAAAGCUCUGUUGUAAGAGAAGAACGGGUGUGAGAGUGGAAAGUUCACACUGU